CCUCAGUGACCUUGCCUUCUGGCACUAUGGGCACAGAAUCUAUACUGAAUAAAGCAGGCAGCGUGCCGCAAGGGAGAAUGUUUUUGGUAUUACCAUGACUCACUUGUUCCAGACCAAGUGAUUUACCGUGGUCACAACCUUGGUACCAAUUAUUUGAAAACCAUCACCACUCUUACUGAGAAAUGACUGGAGAACUAUCAAUCACUACGAUGUGGAGGUGCCGGUGUACGACUGGGGUGGACAAAGUUAAACAUCACACAACUG